GACGAACGCUGGCGGCGUGCCUAAUACAUGCAAGUAGAACGCACAGUUUAUACCGUAGCUCGCUACACCAUAGACUGUGAGUUGCGAACGGGUGAGUAACGCGUAGGUAACCUGCCUGGUAGCGGGGGAUAACUAUUGGAAACGAUAGCUAAUACCGCAUAAUAUUAAUUAUUGCAUGAUAAUUGAUUGAAAGAUGCAACUGCAUCACUACCAGAUGGACCUGCGUUGUAUUAGCUAGUAGGUGAGGUAACGGCUCACCUAGGCGACGAUACAUAGCCGACCUGAGAGGGUGAUCGGCCACACUGGGACUGAGACACGGCCCAGACUCCUACGGGAGGCAGCAGUAGGGAAUCUUCGGCAAUGGACGAAAGUCUGACCGAGCAACGCCGCGUGAGUGAAGAAGGUUUUCGGAUCGUAAAGCUCUGUUGUAAGAGAAGAACGGGUGUGAGAGUGGAAAGUUCACACUGUGACGGUAUCUUACCAGAAAGGGACGGCUAACUACGUG
rnacentral:rRNA from 1 species